rnacentral:tRNA from 1 species
GAUUGCAUAGCGUAGUGGAUUAGCGCGUCUGACAUUGAAUUAAAAGGCUAUGAGUUCAACUCUCAUUGUGGUUG